UACGUAGGGAGCAAGCGUUGUCCGGAAUUAUUGGGCGUAAAGAGCUCGUAGGCGGUCUGUCGCGUCUGCUGUGAAAACUCGGGGCUUAACCCCGGGCCUGCAGUGGGUACGGGCAGACUAGAGUGCGGUAGGGGAGACUGGAAUUCCUGGUGUAGCGGUGAAAUGCGCAGAUAUCAGGAGGAACACCGGUGGCGAAGGCGGGUCUCUGGGCCGUAACUGACGCUGAGGAGCGAAAGCAUGGGGAGCGAACAGG
rnacentral:rRNA from 1 species